rnacentral:rRNA from 1 species
AAUGGGGAAACCCUGAUGCAGCCAUGCCGCGUGUGUGAAGAAGGCCUUCGGGUUGUAAAGCACUUUCAGUAGGGAGGAAGGUAGUGUAGUUAACACCUGCAUUAUUUGACGUUACCUACAGAAGAAGCACCGGCUAACUCCGUGCCAGCAGCCGCGGUAAUACGGAGGGUGCGAGCGUUAAUCGGAAUUACUGGGCGUAAAAGCGCAUGCAGGCGGCCUGUUAAGUCAGAUGUGAAAAGCCCGGGCUUAAACCUCCGGAAAUUGCAUUUGAAAACUGGCAGGCUAGAGUCUUGUAGAGGGGGUAGAAUUUCAGGUGUAGCGGUGAAAAUGCGUAGAGAUCUGAAGGAAUACCAGUGGCGAAGGCGGCCCCUGGACAAAGACUGACGCUCAGAUGCGAAAGCGUGGGGAGCAAACAGGAUUAGAUACCCUUGUAG